rnacentral:rRNA from 1 species
UACGUAGGGUGCAAGCGUUAAUCGGAAUUACUGGGCGUAAAGCGUGCGCAGGCGGCUUUGCAAGACAGAUGUGAAAUCCCCGGGCUUAACCUGGGAACUGCAUUUGUGACUGCGCGGCUAGAGUGUGUCAGAGGGAGGUGGAAUUCCACGUGUAGCAGUGAAAUGCGUAGAUAUGUGGAGGAAUACCGAUGGCGAAGGCAGCCUCCUGGGGAUAACACUGACGCUCAUGCACGAAAGGCGUGGGGAGCAAACAGG